UCAGAAAGAAUUGUGUUUAAUUGAAUGGUCACGUUCCAACCUCAUGCCCGGUAGAGGGCGACGGUGCUGUUAUCAAAGAGCGUAAACUACAAUUUACGUUCUUUGUUGACAUUUCAUUGAAGUUAAUUGUGGCCGACGUUAAUCAUUUCCACAAUGAACACGAGGCCAGAAACGGGAUCCUGGGAUAACUUCCAAGUUGAGCCAGUUGAUUGGUUAUCCCAUUGCUGAAGCACUAAAUGGUUGAAUGCCACAGAAAGGUGGGCAUAACGCUUUCAACGAAUAA